rnacentral:other from 1 species
GCGGGGCUGCGGGGUGCGUCAGAGUCAAUUCCCCGGGGCCUUACGAUCCUGAAGGGAGCUGUCCCUGGCCGGACCCCUGGGUUCGGACAUAUGGCGCCCACCUACUUAUGUAGGUUCCCGGGAUCAGCGCUCCGACGGCCUUGGCGGCUCCGCA